rnacentral:rRNA from 1 species
UGUGUAGGCGGUUCUUUAAGUUUGGUGUGAAAUCUCCCGGCUCAACCGGGAGGGUGCGCCGAAUACUGAGGGACUAGAGUGUGGGAGAGGAAAGUGGAAUUCCUGGUGUAGCGGUGAAAUGCGUAGAUAUCAGGAGGAACACCGGUGGUGUAGACGGCUUUCUGGACCAUAACUGACGCUGAGACACGAAAGCGUGGGUAGCAAACAGGAUUAGAUACCCUGGUAGUCCACGCCCUAAACGAUGCAUAUUUGGUGUGGGUCAUUCAGUUGAUCCGUGCCGGAGCUAACGCGUUAAAUAUGUCGCCUGGGGAGUACAGUCGCAAGGCUGAA